GACGUAGGGGCCGAGCGUUGUCCGGAGUUACUGGGCGUAAAGGGCGCGCAGGCGGUUGGUCACAUCGGCGGUGAAAGCCCCCCGCUCAACGGGGGAGGGUCCGUCGAGAUGGGCCGACUGGAGGCAGGGAGAGGGCGGUGGAAUUCCGGGUGUAGUGGUGAAAUGCGUAGAGAUCGGGAGGAAGGCCGGUGGCGAAGGCGGCGCUCGUGGAACAUUUCUGGACGCUGAGGCUCGAAAGCGUGGGGAGCAAACAGGGA
rnacentral:rRNA from 1 species